rnacentral:rRNA from 1 species
UUUCUGCCACCGAAUACAUUAGCAUGGGAUAAUGGAAUAGGACCCUGUCCUCCUAUUUUCAGUUGGUUUUGGCAGCGCGAGGACUAGGGUAAUGAUUAAUAGGGAUAGUUGGGGGCAUUAAUAUUUAAUUGUCAGAGGUGAAAUUCUUGGAUUUAUGAAAGAUUAACUUCUGCGAAAGCAUCUGCCAAGGAUGUUUUCAUUAAUCAAGAACGAAAGUUAGGGGAUCGAAGACGAUCAGAUACCGUCGUAGUCUUAACCAUAAACGAUGCCGACCAGCGAUUAGGAGACGUUGAAUACAAAACACCACCAUCGGCGCGGUCGUCCUUGGCGUCGGUCUUUCGGGGCCGGCGCGGGGGCGGCUUAGCCCGGUGGCACCGGUGAAUGACUCCCCUAG